GAUGAAGAACGCAGCGAAAUGCGAUACGUAAUGUGAAUUGCAGAAUUCAGUGAAUCAUCGAGUCUUUGAACGCACAUUGCGCCCCCUGGUAUUCCGGGGGGCAUGCCUGUCCGAGCGUCAUUGCUGCCCUCAAGCACGGCUUGUGUGUUGGGCCUCCGUCCUCCUCCCGGGGGACGGGCCCGAAAGGCAGCGGCGGCACCGCGUCCGGUCCUCGAGCGUAUGGGGCUUCGUCACCCGCUCUUGUAGGCCCGGCCGGCGCUUGCCGCCACAUCAAUCUUUUUUCCAGGUUGACCUCGGAUCAGGUAGGGAUCCCCGCUGAACUUAAGCAUAUCAAUAAGCGGAGGA
rnacentral:misc_RNA from 1 species